rnacentral:rRNA from 1 species
UGGGGAAUAUUGGACAAUGGGCGCAAGCCUGAUCCAGCCAUGCCGCGUGAACGAUGAAGGCCUUAGGGUUGUAAAGUUCUUUUGUCAGGGAAGAUAAUGACGGUACCUGAAGAAUAAGCACCGGCUAACUUCGUGCCAGCAGCCGCGGUAAUACGAAGGGUGCUAGCGUUGUUCGGAAUCACUGGGCGUAAAGCGCGCGUAGGCGGCUUAACAAGUCAGAGGUGAAAGCCUGGAGCUCAACUCCAGAACUGCCUUUGAAGCUGUUAAGCUUGAGUGUCGGAGGGGAUAGCGGAAUUUCUAAUGUAGAGGUGAAAUUCGUAGAUAUUAGAAGGAACACCGGUGGCGAAGGCGGCUAUCUGGACGACAACUGACGCUGAGGCGCGAAAGCGUGGGGAUCAAACAGGAUUAGAUACCCAAGUAGUCCCUGAGCGGGCUGGCAAGGCGCAU